UGUUGGUAGAUUCUAGUCUUGUUUUUCAAUUUUUAUUAUUUUUUAUAGUUUGGACUGAAUUCUAAUUUUUCUUGGCUGUAAGUCUUCAAAAUAAUGUUUUCAAUUUUUUUUCUUCUUUUCCACCUCCACUUUUCCUAAUUUGGAGUCACUGAAAACUAAGCUGUGCUUUUGUAAAGCCCUGCAAACUGAAGCUAGACAACUUAAUCUUCAGAAGAAAAUAAUGGCAACCUAUUUACAUACGACAUGAAACUUCACAACCUGCUAAAAAUGAACUUUCCUAAUAACUCAGAACCUACCUGUCUAGGAAUAAACCAUCCUAGCCUUGAGCAAUCAGAUGA